rnacentral:rRNA from 1 species
GGAUUAGAUACCCUGGUAGUCCACGCCGUAAACGAUGAGAGCUAGUUGUCUGGCAGCAUGCUGUUAGGUGACGCAGCUAACGCAUUAAGCUCUCCGCCUGGGGAGUACGGCCGCAAGGUUAAAACUCAAAGAAAUUGACGGGGGCCCGCACAAGCGGUGGAGCAUGUGGUUUAAUUCGAAGCAACGCGCAGAACCUUACCUACCCUUGACAUACCAAUCGCGAUUUCCGGAGACGGAUUUCUUCAGUUCGGCUGGAUUGGAUACAGGUGCUGCAUGGCUGUCGUCAGCUCGUGCCG